rnacentral:lncRNA from 11 species
UAAUAAUUUAUUAACAUCAAUUCGUAAAUGUAUCGAUGAAACCAUUCGGAUGUUGAUAGGGAUAAGAAUUUAACAGAAACAUAUCGAUAAAAGAUCAUUAAGAAAUUAAUAAAAGGAACAGCGAUGAACGAGGUACAACAUGCAACGAGUAACAAAAUCACAAUCGAUUCUAUUCACGUAAUCUUCUCCAAACCUAUCGAAAUACGUCAGAAUAUCAAUUAAGCUUCGUAUAGUUUAAUCAGUUAAACUUUAAAAGUUGAAUAGGAAAUUAUAAAAAUGUCGAGAGAGGUUCGAGUAAUUUCCUCGUGGCCUAACAACAAUCUUCCUUUUUCCUUCCCCUUGUUAUAUCGUUUAUUUUGUUUGUUUAUCAUUUUUCGUUCUGAUCGAAGUCUCUUACGUACGAAAAGAUAAUCUGUCGCUUGCGAUAAAACUAGCCAACGUAUUAUACGCACUCGUAUCGGGAUAUUUAAGAGGCGCGGUGAAACGCUUUGGCAAAAAUCGCCUAGAGCCGAGGAAAAUGGAAAAGCAGAAACGACCGCCUGGUUACGAUCCAAGAAGCUUCUAAUUCCAUCGUCUAAUUUUUCGGCUUUCUGCGGCGCGCAAUUUUUCGCCGUUGCACCGGUCGCGUGUCGGGGUCUCGUUCGGCUCGAUCCUCUCGACAAAUUUGCGUUACAUGGAACCCAAUAAAAUAUCGAGUUAUUCAGUUUAUCGCAGGCAAAUGAAUUCACCGUGUGUGUAUAUGGAACUCGGAAAAGGGGUCGGUCGUGGGCCGCGCUGCUAUCGAAAACAAAUUCCCGAAAUGUUUGCGUGAAAGGUGUUUACGUCAAAAAUAAAUUUCCGUAAUAUUUGCACCGCGUCUGUAUAUGUUUGCCUGUGUGAUUUUUCACGACCGUUCGUUAACGGCUAUCCUGCGUCCGCCAGCGCAAUAAUCGCGCACGAUAAUUAAUAAUCACAUGGACUACGAUUCCUCCCGUGUUAAACAACAUGUUUCUAACGACAGAUCUCCCUUUCGCGACGUACGCAAGUAUAGCGAAGUAUAGAGAUUAUUUGAUCGACCGUUGAAACGAUACGCCAAAUGUCUCUCAUCGGACGAGUGUACGAAAAAUAAAAGGGAAAGCUUAGGAAAACCUUCGUGAAUAUAUUAACUGUGUUGUAUGAGUAACACUUGAUCAUUGGAAUUAUAUUGGUGGCAUUAUCGUGCGAUAGGUUGCACAAACCUAAUGAAAGAUGUGGGUCGACUUGUCUUUAUUUUCGAGACACGAAAGCGAAAGUAGCUUCUUUUUAUUUCUGUCGUCUUGUUACUUUGUUUCGGUAGUUUGCGUUUACAGUUUGUACCAUUGGACGUUCGAUAAAUGGUGAACACUUCGAAACGAAUAUUCCUCGCGUUAUAAAUAGCAAAUAAAGAAUUUAUUUCCUACCCUAUGUUUGUACAACUUUUCUUUCUCUUAUCUUUGUUCGUAAAAUGUAUCACGUAAUUUGGUUUCAGGGAAAAAUCCUGCCACAGCGGACGUAGUCGCCAGUCACGUUCAAGUUUGUUUGCAACGGAAUAAACAGCCGCUGAUUGGUCGAAGAAGCAACAGAGAGCCGGUCUGCACGCGAGAUGCUCCACCUUCCCCCUUUUUACCGUCGGCUCUUCAUUUUGUUGAUAAUUCCGCUAGAAACACGAGGGGUAGCUGGAACGCUGGAAUCGCGAAAUGUUGCGGUUUAAUGGCACGGGGAAACCGGUGACUUCUCUAACGACCAUUAUCACGGAGGGUCUGAACUGGACGAGCUAACAAGCGGAGCAGGCACGACGCUGGAGGAGGGUGCCGAGGUCGCGGUCGCGGUCGCCACUUCCGGCUCUUGGAGGCGCGUACGCGCCAGCUCGCAGACGCCGUGGGAACCGACUUCCUUCGCGCGGUUGCGAUGACGAGCUUCCCCCGUGUUCCUCUCGGAGGCUCGCGGAGUCCCACCCUUCGACAGGAGGAAAUCAAACGACGAUGCGAUGGAAUUUAUAUAUUCGUGGAUUUGCUGUAAUGCAGGGAUUGACAAGAGGAUCGUUUCGCUACGUGACAUGGAACUGUGCAAGGUAAUACAGUUUGCUGGCAGGCCAGGAGUAAGAUCGUUCUCUUGUUUUCAUUAAGAAUAUUCAGUUUUAUGGAAGUUUGUUUGGAGAAGUUAUAAGAAUAAGUGGUGCUGAUGAUGGAGCAUGUAUGCAUAUUUUAUCAUCCUCCAGUCACUUUACAAUGCACACAGAAUAAGAACAGACUUAUAUCUGAAUUUCAAGACGGAAUUAUAUCACUGACUAAUCGUUUACAUUAUAUAACAGAUAUAUAUUAUAUGUUACGUAACAAAUAUAUGUUAAAAUCUUACGU